UUUUUUUUUUUACGUUGGCCCUUUCCUUACCAUGAACAGCAAUCAAAUGUUACCACUUUGUCCAGGUCACAGAUGAAAUCAUGGCACAAUAAUUCAGUAGAAAACACUUCCAUGGAGUAUCUCUUAGCAGAAAUAUUUAGAGGGACCUGGUGGUGGUAGCCCAGAAUUUUUUCUGUGCUGGCUGUGGAACUCCAAUUGAACUUAAGUUUGUGAAGAGGCUCCGGUACUGCAACUAUCUGGGGAAGUAUUUCUGCGAGAGCUGUCACUCAUAUGCAGAGUCCU
rnacentral:lncRNA from 1 species